rnacentral:lncRNA from 1 species
GGUGACGCUCAGCCAGACUGAGAAGAAAGAAAAAAAAGUCAGAAUUCAGAAUGAUAUAAACAUUCGGAAUCAAAAACCCUGCAGGUUGGUGUGAGUGGAUUUUCCACUCAGUUCUCCGUGGGGGUGACGGUGACGCCGCCGACCAUAUACUUAUUUUUUUUUUAGAAUCAGGAGGGUUGGACCCCUCCCUCCGCACCCACCCACCCACCCACCCACCCCCAAAAAAAAAAAAACUUGAUGCGCGAGCGCAGCGCUGUGCGCGCUCACUGUGGCUGUGCGCGCCGCCGCGGACUCGGAAUACGCAGAGUAACGGCAGGACCGGACCGCGCUGCCAGUGCGCGCCUCGGCGUGCCGGCGAACGGAUGGUUUGCUUCGGGGUGGAACGUACCGCGGAGCGCGGACGGACUCGGACCCACGCGUAUGACUGGAACCAUGGCUGCAGGCUGCCCAGAGGAGGAUACAGCUAAAGCCAGCCUCAUGAGGCUGAUGCAACAUGAGAACCUUGGUUUGAAGGAUCUCAUUUGAAGGAUAAAGACUGUCAAUGGUCAAAGUUUACAGGAAGCUCAUCAUGGUCAUCAAAUAUAUAACUGUAAGUUAUGCAGGUGGGGCUUGUUUUGUACUGUUGUGUCCAAAAUCAUGACAUCCGUUCUUAAAUUAUGUGGCUAAAACCACAAGCGCACACAAACUCACAUCCAUAUCAAAUCACCCAAAUCCAGAUUAAAUCAUUGACAAAUAAAGCUACGCUGAGACUAGCGAGAAACA